rnacentral:rRNA from 1 species
AUUGAACGCUGGCGGCAGGCCUAACACAUGCAAGUCGAGCGGAUGAAGGGAGCUUGCUCCUGGAUUCAGCGGCGGACGGGUGAGUAAUGCCUAGGAAUCUGCCUGGUAGUGGGGGAUAACGUCCGGAAACGGGCGCUAAUACCGCAUACGUCCUGAGGGAGAAAGUGGGGGAUCUUCGGACCUCACGCUAUCAGAUGAGCCUAGGUCGGAUUAGCUAGUUGGUGGGGUAAAGGCCUACCAAGGCGACGAUCCGUAACUGGUCUGAGAGGAUGAUCAGUCACACUGGAACUGAAACACGGUCCAGACUCCUACGGGAGGCAGCAGUGGGGAAUAUUGGACAAAGGGCGAAAGCCUGAUCCAGCCAUGCCGCGUGUGUGAAGAAGGUCUUCGGAUUGUAAAGCACUUUAAGUUGGGAGGAAGGGCAGUAAGUUAAUACCUUGCUGUUUUGACGUUACCAACAGAAUAAGCACCGGCUAACUUCGUG